ensembl:lncRNA
AUGAGUGAACUUUUUCAAAAGAACAAAAAAAAAGACUCCCUAUGCUUUAUAGUUAAUGAACAUGAGGAAUUUCUAAAUAUAUUUAAUUAUAGUGAUAUAAAAUGUUUUAGGUCUACUAAUCAUAUUUAUAUAGGACAAGUUAAAAGAGAAAACGAAAUUCAAAACAAAAAAGAGAAAAAGUAUAAUGAAAUAAACAAAAAAAAAGAAGACAUAAAAAAAAAAGAGCCAAAUGAAGAUUCUAGUGUUAAUGUAGAAAAAAGUGAAAAAAAAAAAAAGAAAAAAAAUAUAAACACUGAUAAUAAUAAAUAUGUAAAAGAUGGUUAUGGUAUAUUAAUAAGCUUAAGUAAAAAUCAUUUUGAUGAAGAAAUAAUAGUAAACAAAUACAUUGGUAACUGGAAAGAUAAUAAAAAGAGUGGGUUAGGAUUUAAUAUAUAUUUAAAUAAAAAUAUAUACUUUGGAUAUUAUGAAAAUAAUAUGAGAAAUGGAUUAGGUUAUUUUGAAUGGUAUACUAGUAAAUCAUAUUAUGAAGGUAUGUGGUUAAAUAAUUUUAUAAACGGUAAAGGAAUUUAUAAAAAUAAAAAAUUUAUAUUAGAUGGUACUUUUUAUCAUAAUAAGUUUAUUAAUACUAACAAUGAAUGGAUUGAUAUUUUAGAGCUUGAAAAUAGCAUAUAUAUAAAUAAUAUAGUUGUAAAUAUAACGAAACCUAUAAUUACAAUUAAUAAAAUAAAUUUAAUUAUGUUACCUUUUGAUUUUUUAAAAAUUAAUUUAAAAAAAAUUGCUUAUAUUAUUAAAUACAAUUUUAACCAAAUUCCAUUUUUUAUAUGUUCCAACAAAUGUAUUGAAAAGUAUCCUCCGUUUAACCUUUCAAAAUUUAUAUUUUUAAAUUAUUAUUUAGCUAAUUGUUUGUAUGGUGGUGAUAGUAACGACAUCGAUAAUAAGCACAGUUCUUAUAAUGAUUUACUUUUUUACCAUUUAAAAAAUAGUGAUAAUGAUAAAAACAAGAAAAAAAAAAAAAGACAUACAACGUGUGGUAUUAAUCAUACUAAUAGAAAUGAAUCGUCGAAUAUGAAUAAAAAAUUAACUAAUCUUGAUGUGAACAAUGACUCUGAUAAUUUUUCUAAAUGCGACACAUCUAGCACCGCAGGAAUGUCUGACGUGUGUGAUAGUUCUAUUAAUGAUCACAAAACUGACGAUACAUGUAGCGACAAACAUGCAUCUAGUAGUUAUUAUACACAAAGUGAUGAACACAUAACUGAUAGUGAGUAUACAAAUAGUGAUAAUCAUAUAUGUAGUAGUAAAUCCAAUAAUGAGGACACAUCUAACAAUAAUGAUAAGUCUAGUGUUGAUAGAAAUAUGUCAACUGACAGAGACACGUUUGACGACGACAGUGGCUCGGUCAGUUCAAUGUUAACUCAAUUUUCGUCUAAUUCAGAAUCUUAUAGCUUAUCAAAUGAAGAUUUUCAAAAAUAUACAGAUACAUGUUUAAUGACUGAUGAUAAUUUAAAAAACAGUAUAAAUGAAAGGAAUAAUGCCAGUAUUGACAAGGAACUAAACGAAUAUUUAAAACAUUCCCAAAAAAAAAGCACAUCAAAAGAAAAAAAAGAAGUGAUUCAAAUUAGUAGCGAUAGUAAUGCUUUAAGCUCACACGAUCCUGUUAUUAGCAAUAAUAAGUAUUCGAAUACAUACAAAAGUCAAGUAAAUUCAGAUUUAAUAGAAAAAAGAAAAAAUAAAAUAAAGAUGUUAAUUAACAAAUACGUAAGUAUUAACGGCAGCUAUGAAAACAGUUGUAGUGAUUAUUCAAUAGAAGACUAUAAAACAAAUAGUUCAGAUAGUAGUACACAUGCCAUUUCUAGCGAACCUAAAAUAAAGCAAACAGUUGAGUUGACUCCUGUUGAAGAUAACGAAGAAAAAAAAAAAAAAAUAUACAUAAACAAAAAUGUUAAACAGAAAGAAAUGGUUAAUAAAAUUGAAUAUUUAGAAACUGAUACAAAUACAAAUAAAAAACAAAAUUUUGAUAAAUUGAACAAACAUAUAGAAAAAGAGUUAGCAAAAAUAAAUAUAAACGUUCUAUUUUUAAAUAAAAUAACACAAACUAAUUUACCUUGUACGCACAUAAUAAAAAAAAAAAUGAAAAACUCAAUAAA